rnacentral:rRNA from 1 species
GUCUGUGGCCAUACCACCCUGAACACGUCCGAUCUCGGAAGCUAAGCAGGGUCGGGCUGGCUAGUGCUUGGAUGGGAGAAACAUUACGGCUUUAGUGA